rnacentral:lncRNA from 1 species
CUCUCACGUCAGGAGUUGGGUAACCCCUUUCCUGCCCUCUCAGUUAUCACUCAAAAGCAGGCCAGAGAAGGAAAGAGAGGUUCCUCUUUAAAGACUGGGACGGAUGCACCAGCACCAUGCAAUGCAGUGGAAUUGCCCUUCUCCUGGGACUGGUCUGGUUCACUUCCAAGAUAAGGACACAAGUGUUACAUAAAGAUGAUUUUUCAGGUUCCUCAUCUGGUGAAUGCCAGAAUCCUGCGACCUGCCCUGCUAAUUCAAGAUGCACAGAUACAGGAAAUGAUUACUACUGUACCUGUGAGAUUGGAUUUGAACUGGCUUCUAAAGAGCGCAUCUUCACUGACCCAAAUGAG